UACGUAGGGGGCGAGCGUUGUCCGGAGUUACUGGGCGUAAAGGGCAUGCAGGCGGUCGGACGCGUUUCGGGUGACAGCGGGUGGCUUAACUACCCGAGUGGUCGAAAGACGGUUUGACUUGAGGACGCGAGAGGGACACGGAAUUCCGGGUGGAGUGGUGAAAUGCGUAGAGAUCCGGAGGAACACCGAAGGCGAAAGCACUCUGCUGGGCCGACACUGACACUGAGAGACGAAAGCUAGGGGAGCGAAUGGG
rnacentral:rRNA from 1 species